rnacentral:rRNA from 1 species
UACGAGGGGGCAAGCGUUGUUCGGAUUUAUUGGGCGUAAAGGGUGCGUAGGCGGUUUGGCAAGUCUUGUGUGAAAUCUUUGGGCUCAACCCAAAGUCUGCACAAGAAACUGCCGGGCUUGAGUAUGGGAGAGGUGAGUGGAAUUUCCGGUGUAGCGGUGAAAUGCGUAGAUAUCAGGAGGAACACCUGUGGUGUAGACGGCUUUCUGGACCAUAGCUGACGCUGAGACACGAAAGCGUGGGUAGCAAACAGG